ACGCUAGCUACAGGCUUAACACAUGCAAGUCGAGGGGCAGCAUGGUCUUAGCUUGCUAAGGCCGAUGGCGACCGGCGCACGGGUGAGUAACACGUAUCCAACCUGCCGUCUACUCUUGGACAGCCUUCUGAAAGGAAGAUUAAUACAAGAUGGCAUCAUGAGUCCGCAUGUUCACAUGAUUAAAGGUAUUCCGGUAGACGAUGGGGAUGCGUUCCAUUAGAUAGUAGGCGGGGUAACGGCCCACCUAGUCUUCGAUGGAUAGGGGUUCUGAGAGGAAGGUCCCCCACAUUGGAACUGAGACACGGUCCAAACUCCUACGGGAGGCAGCAGUGAGGAAUAUUGGUCAAUGGGCGAGAGCCUGAACCAGCCAAGUAGCGUGAAGGAUGACUGCCCUAUGGGUUGUAAACUUCUUUUAUAAAGGAAUAAAGUCGGGUAUGGAUACCCGUUUGCAUGUACUUUAUGAAUAAGGAUCGGCUAACUCCGUGCCAGCAGCCGCGGUAAUACGGAGGAUCCGAGCGUUAUCCGGAUUUAUUGGGUUUAAAGGGAGCGUAGAUGGAUGUUUAAGUCAGUUGUGAAAGUUUGCGGCUCAACCGUAAAAUUGCAGUUGAUACUGGAUAUCUUGAGUGCAGUUGAGGCAGGCGGAAUUCGUGGUGUAGCGGUGAAAUGCUUAGAUAUCACGAAGAACUCCGAUUGCGAAGGCAGCCUGCUAAGCUGCAACUGACAUUGAGGCUCGAAAGUGUGGGUAUCAAACAGGAUUAGAUACCCUGGUAGUCCACACGGUAAACGAUGAAUACUCGCUGUUUGCGAUAUACUGCAAGCGGCCAAGCGAAAGCGUUAAGUAUUCCACCUGGGGAGUACGCCGGCAACGGUGAAACUCAAAGGAAUUGACGGGGGCCCGCACAAGCGGAGGAACAUGUGGUUUAAUUCGAUGAUACGCGAGGAACCUUACCCGGGCUUAAAUUGCAGAUGAAUUACGGUGAAAGCCGUAAGCCGCAAGGCAUCUGUGAAGGUGCUGCAUGGUUGUCGUCAGCUCGUGCCGUGAGGUGUCGGCUUAAGUGCCAUAACGAGCGCAACCCUUGUUGUCAGUUACUAACAGGUUCCGCUGAGGACUCUGACAAGACUGCCAUCGUAAGAUGUGAGGAAGGUGGGGAUGACGUCAAAUCAGCACGGCCCUUACGUCCGGGGCUACACACGUGUUACAAUGGGGGGUACAGAGGGUCGCUACCACGCGAGUGGAUGCCAAUCCCCAAAACCUCUCUCAGUUCGGACUGGAGUCUGCAACCCGACUCCACGAAGCUGGAUUCGCUAGUAAUCGCGCAUCAGCCACGGCGCGGUGAAUACGUUCCCGGGCCUUGUACACACCGCCCGUCAAGCCAUGGGAGCCGGGGGUACCUGAAGUGCGUAACCGCGAGGAGCGCCCUAGGGUAAAACUGGUGACUGGGGCU
rnacentral:rRNA from 1 species